rnacentral:rRNA from 1 species
AUUGAACGCUGGCGGAAUGCUUUACACAUGAAAGUCGAACGGUAACGGGCCUUCGGGUGCCGACGAGUGGCGAACGGGUGAGUAAUGCAUCGGAACGUACCUUUCAGUGGGGGAUAACGUAGCGAAAGUUACGCUAAUACCGCAUAUUCUGUGAGCAAGAAAGCAGGGGAUCGCAAGACCUUGCGCUGAUUGAGCGGCCGAUGUCAGAUUAGCUAGUUGGUGAGGUAAAGGCUCACCAAGGCGACGAUCUGUAGCGGGUCUGAGAGGAUGAUCCGCCACACUGGAACUGAGACACGGUCCAGACUCCUACGGGAGGCAGCAGUGGGGAAUUUUGGACAAUGGGGGCAACCCUGACCCAGCCAUGCCGCGUGAGUGAAGAAGGCCUUCGGGUUGUAAAGCUCUUUCGGUCGGGAAGAAAUCGCAUGGGUUAAUACCCUGUGCGGAUGACGGUACCGGCAUAAGAAGCACCGGCUAACUACGUGCCAGCCGCCGCGGUAAGAC